rnacentral:rRNA from 1 species
CCCUAGUAUAAUAGACAAAUUAAAAUUAGUAUCAGUGAAAUUUAAAGAUGUUGGCGGUUGAUUUUUUUUUAGAGGAGCUUGUUUUAAUAGAAUCUACUCUUUAAAUUUUAAAAGUAAUGAAGCUUAUUCAUCUCCGUUAUCAAAUAAGUUUUAAUAGAUAGAUUUAAAAUAUCAGGUCAAGAUGUAGUAUUUAUUGGGAUGAAUUAGCUACAUUUAUAAUAAUAAAUGGAUGAUUAUAGGAAGACUUAUAACUGAAAUUGAAUUUAAUUGUAAUACUAAUUAGAAAGUUAGUAUGAAUUGACGAGAUUAGUGUA